UAAUACCUUUCUGACUUCCAAGGAGAAAGUAAAGGAAACGAUGUUCUCAUUAAUUUCAGGGAUUGCUGCAUGGUGUUGGUGUAGAGAGGCAGGCGAUGGUGAUGGUGGGAAUGGUAGUGUAAUGAUGAUGUAGGUGGAGGUGGUGGAGACGCUGUGGUGGUGGUGAUGGCGGUGAAAGUUUAGAUGGCAGUGAGGGUGGAGAUGGUGGUGGUAUGGAUUUUGGUGGUCACGGUGGUAUAGAUGGUGGUGAGAGGGUAAGGGUGUAGAGGAAGGUAGUGGUAUAGAUUUGGUGAUGGGGGUAUGGGUACAGAUGGUGGCAGUGGUGUAGAUGGUGGUGAUGAGGGUAUAGAUGGUGGUGGCAUAGACUUUGGUGGUGAUGGUGGUGAGGUUGUAGAUGGAGGUCAUCGUGUAGAAUUUGGUGGCAGUGGUAGUACAGGCGGUGGUAGUGCUAGUGCAGGCAGUGGUAGUGUAGAUGGUGGUGAGGGUUUAGGUGUUGAUGGUGAGGGUACAGAUUUUGUUGGUCUAGAUGGUGUGGUGAGAGCGUAGAUGGAGAUACUUUAGAUUUUAAUGGUAGUAAGGUUGGAGAUGGUGGUGAGGGUGCAGGUUGUGGUGAGGGUACAGGUUGUGGUGGUGAAGGUGCAGGUUGUGGUGGGUUGUGAGGGUGCAGGUUGUGGUGAGGGUACAGGUUGUGGUGGUGAGGGCAUAGGUUGUGAGGGUGCAGGUUGUGGUGAGGGUGCAGGUUGUGGUGGUGAGGGUGUAGGCAGUGGUAGAAGUAGAGGUAUCGUGCUGCUGGUGUGUGUGCUUAUGGUGGUAGAGAACGUGAUGGGAAUGGUGGUAGUGGCGAUGAUGAUGUCCUCAUAGUUGU
rnacentral:lncRNA from 1 species